AACGUAGGAGACAAACGUUAUCCGGAGUUACUGGGCGUAAAGGGCGUGUAGGUGGUUUCGUAAGUCUGGCGUGAAAUAUCUCGGCUUAACCGAGGCAGGUCGUCGGAUACUGCGGGACUAGAGGACGGUAGAGGCGUGUGGAAUUCCGGGUGUAGUGGUGAAAUGCGUAGAGAUCCGGAAGAACACCGGUGGCGAAGGCGGCCUGCUGGGCAGUAGCUGACGCUGAGGCGCGACAGCGUGGGGAGCAAACAGG
rnacentral:rRNA from 1 species